GCUUGGGUGGCUCAGUGGGUUAAGCAUCUGACUUCAGCUCAGGUCAGGAUCUCACACAGUCUGUGAGUUCAAGCCCCACAUUAGGCU
rnacentral:tRNA from 1 species